CGCGUAGUCGACAGUACACGCCAGUUAUAGGACAUCGAAACAGCAGGCAUGGCUGAAGAAAGCAGCAUCGAAUAAAUGCAUCUUGACUUAAGCAUGAAGGGCGAAGAAACACCAAGUACAUGAUGUGACGGUACACAGGGCGCUUCAUCUACUUUGGGCGACUACGCAACCUAGAAACUGUCUGACCAAUACCAGGGCUACACGCUGCCAGGGGUACACGCAGCACACGUCGAUGACCGACAAGACUUGCAACGUAAACGGUGUCACUGAUAAGGGCAGCACAUGUUGCAAGCCCCUGGCGUCCAUCAGGAGCAUCGAUAAGGCAAUGCCCAGCACAAGUCCUGCUGGCAUGGGGGAAACAUCAGUCAAUUUUGAAGACGGCGCCACGAACGCUGCUGCAACCGGAGGUAGAGUACAUCCUGUGUCCUGCAGUGUCAGUGGAAAAGUUUCCAGCAGACGGGAUGCCUCCCACGGACAACCCAACGAACACACGGGCGGUACAGCCCCCACGUUCAGAGCACGUGGUGGAUUGUCUGUCAAGAAUUCGAACCACAAGUGCGAAACAUGCGGUAAAUUGUAUUGCAGGGCGUCUACUCUAACUGUGCAUUACCGCACGCAUACACGCUAGACACCCUACAAAUGCGAAAUAUGUCAUAAAUCGUUCACGCACAGGUGGAGUUUCCAUAGGCAUCAACAGAGUCACACAGGACUGAAACCCCAUAAUUGCCAAAUAUGUACUAACCAUUCCAAAACAAAGAGAAGCUUAAGAUUCAUCUCAAAUCACAUAGUAUCGACAAACCUUUUAUUUGCGACAUAUGUAAUGUCUCCUUUAAGCUCAAGUGAAAUUUCAAAAGACACUGCAAAACUAUUCACGAGG